rnacentral:rRNA from 1 species
GCCUAANACAUGCAAGUCGAGCGGAUGAAGAGAGCUUGCUCUCUGAUUUAGCGGCGGACGGGUGAGUANUGCCUAGGAAUCUGCCUGGUAGUGGGGGAUAACGUUCCGAAAGGAACGCUAAUACCGCAUACGUCCUACGGGAGAAAGCAGGGGACCUUCGGGCCUUGCGCUAUCAGAUGAGCCUAGGUCGGAUUAGCUAGUUGGUGAGGUAAUGGCUCACCAAGGCGACGAUCCGUAACUGGUCUGAGAGGAUGAUCAGUCACACUGGAACUGAGACACGGUCCAGACUCCUACGGGAGGCAGCAGUGGGGAAUAUUGGACAAUGGGCGAAAGCCUGAUCCAGCCAUGCCGCGUGUGUGAAGAAGGUCUUCGGAUUGUAAAGCACUUUAAGUUGGGAGGAAGGGCAUUAACCUAAUACGUUAGUGUUUUGACGUUACCAACAGAAUAAGCACCGGCUAACUUCGUGCCAGCAGCCGCGGUAAUACGAAGGGUGCAAGCGUUAAUCGGAAUUACUGGGCGUAAAGCGCGCGUAGGUGGUUCGUUAAGUUGGAUGUGAAAAGCCCCGGGCUCAACCUGGGAACUGCAUCCAAAACUGGCGAGCUAGAGUACGGUAGAGGGNAGUGGA